AAGUCGUAACAAGGUUUCCGUAGGUGAACCUGCGGAAGGAUCAUUAACACGUAUCCACGUAUCAACCAAUGAGAACCUGUUUUCCCGUCUCCCUGUGCAAAGAAUGAAUUGGAACCAGUUUGAGGGAGUGAUGGGACCGAAAGGUCGGCCUUCCUGGUAUACUUAUGUCGACAGAAAUGUUUGCAUAGACAAUUGUAUUUUUGUUACAGGCUAUUUCUUAUCGCUUUGAUCCCCAUCAUGAUCGUGGCGGUAGGGAAACUUUCACUAAAUUUACCUUUUUUGCUAGUUGACUUUUUAUAUGUGUUGUCUUGCGAAUUUUUAUAUGUGUUGUCUUGCGAAAGCAUGGUGGCACACGUUUAUUAAUUGAACGUUAAAAAAUACAACUCUUAGCAAUGGAUAUCUUGGUUCUC
rnacentral:misc_RNA from 1 species